rnacentral:rRNA from 1 species
AAUUUAAAAAUUAAUAAGUUUAUAUUUUAGUUGAUAUUUAAUAAAAGGAAUUUUAAUAAUAGGAUUGUUUUAGUAAGAUAGUGAAUAGAUUUUUUAUUUAUAGAUUAAUAGUACUGUGAAGGAAUUUUGAAAUAGAAUAAAUUUAAUUAUUGUAAAGUAAAUUUUUAUUGUACCUUGAGUAUCAGGGUUUAUAAAAUUUGGAUUAGUGAAUUAUUAGAUUUCCCGAAUUAAAAAGAAUUAUAAUAGAUUUUAGGUUAAUGUUGAAUAAUUAUCUAAAAAUUUAUUAUAGAGAUGAAAUGUUAUUCGGUUUUUAAUAUAUCUGGUUUCUUAAGAGGUGAAUUUAAUUCAGAUUAUAUAAUUUAAUUGAUUAAAUUGAAUUUAUUGAUUAUAGAGUAUAAUUAAUAUUUUAAGGGAUAAGCUUUAGAAUAUAUAUAUAUUAAAAUAUUUAAGUUAAAUAAAGAUUAAUUAUAAGCUUUUAAUUAGCUAAUAAUGAAAUAAUGUUAUAAAUUAUUUAUUUUUGAGAUUAUUUUGUAUUGUUUAAUUAAUAUAUUAAGAUGAAUUAUUUAAUAAAAAGAUUUUUGUAAUAAUGAUAUAAUAAGUAAAUUGAGUUGUCUAAGUAAUUAUGGAUGUAUAUUUAUAUAAAGGAACUAGGCAAAGUUAAUAUAUUCGCCUGUUUAUCAAAAACAUGUCCUUUUGAUUCAGAAAUAUAAGGUUGGCCCUGCUCACUGUUUUAUAAAGAGCCGCGGUAUUAUGACCGUGCAAAGGUAGCAUAAUCAUUAGUCUUUUAAUUGAAGGCUGGAAUGAAAGGGUUGACGAGAUAUAAACUGUCUCUAUGUUAUUAAUUGAAAUUAAUCUUUAAGUUAAAAAGCUUAAAUGUAAAUAUGGGACGAGAAGACCCUAUAGAGUUUAAUAUAUUAGAAUUAAAAUUAUAUUAAGAUUAGAGAGGAUUGUAUUUUAUAGUAUAUUUUGUUGGGGUGACAGAAAGAUAAAAAUAACUCUUGAUUUUAAUUAACAUUGAUGUAUGAAUAUUUGAUCCAAUUAUAUUGAUUAUAAGAUUUAAUUACCUUAGGGAUAACAGCGUAAUUUUUUUUAAGAGUUCAUAUCAACAAAAAAGAUUGCGACCUCGAUGUUGGAUUAAGAGAUAAUAUUAGGUGUAGAAGCUUAAUAGAUAAGUCUGUUCGACUUUUGAAUUCUUACAUGAUCUGAGUUCAAACCGGUGUAAGCCAGGUUGGUUUCUAUCUAUAUUAGUUUUAUGUAUUUUAGUACGAAAGGACCAAAUAUAUACAAUAAUUGGUAAUAUGGAUUAACAUUAAUU